rnacentral:misc_RNA from 1 species
UCCGUGUUAACCACGGCAGUCUCUCUAGAGUGCCCAACUAAAUGCUGGCAACUAAAGACAAGGGUUGCGCUCGUUGCGGGACUUAACCCAACAUGUCACCACACGAGCUGACGACAGCCAUGCAGCACCUGUCUCCCUGUGGUAUUGCUACCAAGACCGUAUCUCUACGGCUGUCAGGGGAUGUCAAACCCAGGUAAGGUUCUUCGCGUUGCUUCGAAUUAAACCACAUGAUCCACCGCUUGUGCGGGCCCCCGUCAAUUCCUUUGAGUUUUAGUCUUGCGACCGUACUUCCCAGGCGGGGUACUUAGUGCGUUAGCUCCGAUUCGGCGGGGGUCAAGACCCACCAAAUCUAGUACCCAUCGUUUACAGCGUGGACUAC